rfam:Trichobilharzia regenti genome assembly, scaffold: TRE_scaffold0008838
AUCCAGCUGACGAGUCCCAAAUAGGAAGAAAUGCGCAUCCUGGAU